CUGGCAGUUCUUUCGUCCCGUUUGCAUUGAAUAAUGGUUGGAAUACAUUGAUCCUCGCUAUGACUGCUCAAUAAUUCGAAUUCAGACGUUAGAUAAGAAAGACGGGUACACAAUACAUUUUUCUGACCACACAACCGACUAACGUACACCGGGAUUACAACGCCUGAUGAAAAUACAAUACUCGAGCGGUCUACGGUUCCUUCUUUCUUUCCCCUGGGUUUUCUUCCUUUUGUUUCCUUUUCCUUUGCUUAGCAGAUAUGUAUGCAUUUUUCUUGCUGUAGAAGCAAAGCACCCGUUUCCUCGUGACGCUGAAGCUCUCUGGUUCUACAAAAGACGAAGGUAAUAAAACCUUUAUAGUUCGCAGACGAACAUGUCUGCCCAGGUAAAAUUGUUGUAAUACUGAUAUAACUCCUCAUUGUCGAAUAAAGAAACCCAUGUUCGGCACACGUCACUUCAUGAACUGAUUUCACAUUUCGAUCUUUGCAUCCAUAGAAUCACUCAUAUUCAAUUUGGAACGGAAGUUUGGGAAAGAAUAAAUUGAAUGGAAGGAGUUAAAACCAGCUGUAAUUCCACAUCCCUUACUAGAGGAAGGAUGGUACGAACUGAAAAAUGUUUAUAAUAUAAUAAGCUCAUGAACAAAAGAUAUGAGACUUUUUACAAAGAAUAAUUUCUCAAGAAACCGACUUACUUAGAUGUUUAGAUUAUAUACUUUCUUUUUCUUGCACUUAAAAAUAUGUAAGUAUAUUCCUACGAGACCACAUAUUUUGAAGUUCAGAUUGGAGGAAAUAUGGUGUGCGAGAAUAAAUGAAUGGAACUUAUUCAGUACUUGAGGAAUAAUUGUUGAACUCACAUCAGUUAGCCCAGCUGGACGAACAAUAAAGAUAAACGUAUAGAGAAGCAUUUUAAAUUAGCAAGCAUUUCCACUGUCGAAAGAUUAGGAGUUAGCCUGUUCACACAUACGUAUAGCCCAUUAAAAGGAUGCAAAAAAUUGAGCUAAUAGGCCAAAAAUAAAUAUAAAAAUUCCCAUGCAUAACAAUCAAAUUAAUUAGGAUUCUUGAAAUUAAGAUACCCGAUAACGAAACUAUGGCUGAAUGAUACAAGAAAAAACUCACACACCAUGCAUUCGAUUAGAAUACUCGAACAAUCUUCUCUUAUUAUCUAUACUACACAUCACGCUACGUAGAUAUCAUAUCGAAGGAAUACAACUUUUAUGGAUCAUAACACCACCAAGCUUGGGCGUAGUAGAGUAAUUAAAAGCAUCAAUAAUAUGGCAAGCAAUCAUUCAUCUCGCACACAAAAAGGAAAGAAACAUAGGCCACGGCAUAGGAGAAAAUAUCUUGUACCGUGCAAACAUAGACACACGCAUGCCGUAAGUAGGGAGAGAGAGAGAGAUCGAUUGAGCUGCAUAAAGAUGGAUCAUGCAAUAACUUCUCGAGGUUAAAGGAGCUUUUGUUGAAAAGAGAUGGCACUUGUAGCUAUUCCACAUGAACAUAUCAAAAGGCACAUGUGAUAUAACAAUGCAUGAUGCAAAAGUAAUAGCUCGAGGUGCCAUCUCUCCUGCAACAAAAGUUCCUAUCAAGCUCUUAACAGUGCUCUCCUUUCUCUCUCUCUCUCUCUUUUUUUUUUUUUUAAUUUUAUUGGGAGAGAACAAACCCCCUCAAACUCUCCCGAUGUAUCUAUCUCUAAAAUCUG
rnacentral:lncRNA from 1 species